AAUUUCUUUCGCCUUCAAAUAUGGUCUUUUAUUUUUCUUCAGAUUUUUAUGGACUGAUUUGACUUGUUCUAAAAUAUACUUUAUUAAAAAAAAAAAAACCAACAUCGAGUAAAAAAUGUUCAAUUAUGAAAAAGUGGGCCAUAAGAUUUCAACCUAUAAUAUUUAUUUUUAGAUUAUCUGGUAGUGCUAUUAAGGCCGAAGAGAUUAAUAAUUAUUAUGGAAUUGACGAAAACAGUAAUUUGGACAUGGUCAUAAAGAUUUGUUUCCUUGUCAUAAUGAUUUUAAUUCAAAGCAUAGUGGUAGGUAUCUUAUCUAAUUAUCUUAUUCAAUUACAGCGUUAUUCAAAGAAAAGUCCAAUCAAUUAGUCUUCAUGUUAUAAACUUAUAAUGAUGCCUAAGAAAGUGGAAUUAUUUUAUAAUUUUGAACAAAUUUUGUCAAAGUGUGCUAGGGUUGAUUGGAUCACACGUCAAUUUCAUGCACCAAAAGUAAGCAUAUUUUCUAAAAUAUAAUU